AGACUUCGCCCCCGACUUCAAUUGCAGGUGGACUUCGCCCAGACUCCUAUGGGAGCCAUACUUCAUCCUCGACUCCGACUGCAGGAAGACUUCGUCCGGACUCCUACGGGAGUCGGACUUCGCCCCCGACUUCAAUUGCAGGUAGACUUUUCUCGGACUACUACAGGAGCCAGACUUCACCCCCGACUUCAAUUGCAGGUAGACUUCGCCCGGACUCCUACGGGAGCCGGACCUCGUCCCUGACUCCAGC
rnacentral:lncRNA from 1 species